CUGUCCACGUGGAACGUGGACGGCCCCUUAUCCCUUUAUCCCCUUAUACCUUAUCCGUAUCACUUUAAAAAAUCGAUAUAAUUUCGCACAAAAAUGCAUUUUACCAAAUUAUUAAGUUAAAUUUAAUUUUCUACAAAAGCUGGGUCUUUAAUGUAUGCCUGAAACAAUAAUAUAUUUCCGAUAAUUACUGGCCUUUCGGUAGUUUCGUACCAUAUUAACACACACAACCUUGCAAUAUGGCUGACAAAAAAUUUAUCGCAUCCAAUAUUUUUGUAAAAAAAAUAUUCAACUCACAAUCUCACUGAAAUGAAUGGCCUGCAACGACAACGGUUUUGAAACAAAAGUUUUAGUAGUUAUGAUUAACUGUCGCACAGCUAUUAAAGCUUUACUGUUAAGUUCAGUACGGACGAGUGAUUUAAAAAAAAGGCAAAUGCAAAAUUAUGCAAAAAACAUUAUUUCAUCAAAAUGUAGAAUAUAAUGUAUAAGUUUCAAAUGUAUUUUGGAUAAAAACAUUAUAAAAUUGAAGUGUCCAAAGAAGCCUUGCAUAUAAAAAAAGCCCCGCACAACGGUACAUGUUUUAUUGACAUACUGUCUUCACAAUAUAUUUAAUACAAAAAGACUCAAAAAAUGAUAACAAGUUUUAGUGCGGAACUGUGCCGAUAGUGGUUUUCAGUCUCACACUUUUGAGAAAAGUUGUCUUAAGCGAAGCUGUACAUAAUGUUGUCUCAAAAAAAACUAUGCCGAAAACAAUCGUCUGCUUAUUUCUCUGUUGUUGAAGAUACAUUCAUCAUAUAUUUGUAUAUCAUAGAAACACGGAACUUUAGAAAAGACACAACAACAUAGCUUCUGCACAGACAAAACAUCUUCUUUUAGAGACAAACAAACGGUUUCUAAUUGAAGAUGUUUUGUUCAUGUGAAUAUGUUAGUCCGUUAGCGUUUCACAUAAACACCAAGAUAACGCGAUAAAAAUUUCAACAGCUACAUCAGGUUACCAUUUUAGAAUUUUUCAGGAAACUGAUCAUAAAGUUUUUAGUUUAAUUUUGAAACUGAUAUCCGCCUCAUGAGUAACAAAUGCUGAGCAGCUAAAGUUUUCAACAGGUUUGUACGGUACCGCAGUCGUCCGCUCUCUGAUUACUGAUAAUUCAUGCUCGUAAAUCAUGGGUGGAGGAAUCCGCUUAUUUAUUAUAUAAUGGUUGAGUUUGAGAAUUUCUAUUGCUGAAGUUUUCUGUUUUCGUAGAUCGUUUUACAUUUUUGACAUUCCAAGGCAACGAGUCAUUUUCUGUUGGAUGGACCAAUCGCAUACGAUCUUUUUCUUACCGUGAUGGUUAUAAUCAUUAGAUUAGGUAAGGUAAGGUAAAGAAUUAGGCAGUAGCGUGCAUUUAUCGCGCGAAAGUUGUUAUAGUAGAUUUAGAAUAACCAUAAAAAAUACACAAAAAAAACGCUAAGUUUACAUAUCUGAUUUAUAUAAAUUUUUUAACAAACUGUAAAGCGGAUAUCAUGUGAUAUCCAACCCGGUGGCAUCACUGACGUUUACGUACAAAACAAGUGGAGCCAGCAUUAGCUGGAUCACUGGAUCAAUUUUACAUGCAAUUUGACAGCUGAUUCAUCGAAACAAGAACAAAAGCAUUGUUCAUACGUGCACACAGUGUCGGUGUUCAGUGGCAGUGUACUUACGUGAUGUUUUCGCAUGAUAUAUUUAUUGCACAUAACGUGAGUGCUUUACUUGAUGAAACAAAAAAAAAAAAAAGGCGUUGCAUUGUUAUAGAAUGUACACAACGUUUGUUCUUGCCGUUUGCGAAUGGCGGUGUUUCUUGCAGUUAGCUGGCAAACAUGCGAUGACUUAAGGAAUACGAUCUCAAUGUAUGUGUAAAAGAGAAAGCGUAUCAAUGCUAGUUUUAAACAUUUACAAAGCCAAGCCAAGCUAUUUUUUAAUAUUUAAAAUGAUUCAAGCGCAUAACUCUGUACAACAUAUAUUAUGCUUCGCUCGUCACGCUUACUCUGCUGUGUGAACAAACCUUCAAAAACAUAAAUGAGACUAGCGCCACUGUCUUUCACGGCAGCUUCAGGAAGCAAGGCCGAUGCCACCGCACAGUGGGGAAUCGCUGGCCAUCAGCCAAAAAAUUUUUUUUUCGUUAGCUGUAUCAUAUUGUUUUUCCUUUAUUGCUUUAACAUUCAAGUGUCUUAAUCCAAAAUUUGAGCGCAAUAUCAUGAAAUCUGAAUGUUUUAUGACUUUUCAAAGCUUAGCGAACUGACGUUUUUUGUCUUUUUUUACGAAAAAAGUACAUUACUUUGAAACGCUCUGUAGCUUCAAUGAUAGCUUGGAUUUUUUUGACGUCAAUGGAAAAGUUGUUGUAAAUAUUGUGCAAAACAAACCCUUUUCAUUAGAUAUUGUAAAAUUUGGUUAUAGUAGGCCUGACACUAAGAAAAAUUAAAAAAAAAACGUGAUUUUUUGUAGAAAAGUAGCAUAAAAGUUUAGUUGCCGCAGUUUGCCACGGUUGUGACUACAUUCAAAAUUUAGGUAAAAACGUAAGCUUUCAAAUGCAUACUGUCCGCUGUAGCGCAAAACUGCGCAAAUUGUCACUUUAGUGAAAAAAGCGAUAGCAGAUUUUUUUAGUUUUUGUGUUUUGAAGUUGAAAUUUCAUCCAGGAUUAAUUUCAAUCAUAACCAUGAUACUCCAUUAAUGAAAAUUUAUGAUAUCGUACUCAAUCCGUAAGGAUAAAAUAUAAAUUUGGGCAAAAAUCACAAAAUUUAUCAAUGAAAGUUAUAAAAUAAGUGCUAAACAAGAAAACAGUAAACAAAUCUAUGAAAUUUUAAUUAUGUCAAACUUUAUCACUUUCUGCACAUUUAAAACAAUAUUAAAAACAUUCAGCCCUGUUCAAUUUAUGAACAUCAAAUUCGCUAAACUGAUUGAAGUGUCAAAUGCUAGCAGCAAAUCCAUACCAUCAAACUCCGGCUAACAAUAGCUCGUUUGAAGAUUGCUUUUGCUUCGCACUUGUUUGCAUACAAAAGUAGAGCACAUAUUUUGCGUUAUGAGAAAAAAACAAAGAACAAUCGUCGCCCUCCGCAUUUUUUCGUAUUCAUUUAGAACGUUGUGUCAUUCCAGUGUCUUGGUUUUCGAAUUCAUAAAUUUGAUGAAUUUUAUUAUGGAGCCUUUCAACUUCAGCGGCACCACCUAUUUCAAUGUCUAGUAAGUUGUCAAUUCAUGGUGUUAUACAUGUAUUUGAAUGUCCUCUUUCAACCAUAGAAACCGGAUUAGGAAGAUAACAUAUAUAUGAAACAAUGAAACGUCGAAAAUCACUAGAAGAAAUGAAAAUUGCAGCGAAAGACAUUUUUUCUGCUGAUAAGUUUAAUGAACUACAAAUUUUCUGGAAACAAUUCAACACAAGAUUUAAGCGAUCACAGCGGAAGAUGAUGAUGUUGAUGAUGAUGAUGACUUUUUCAAUUUGUAAAUAGUUUGUAUUACUUAUGUUGUUUUAGUUUAUUUAAAAAAUAUAUAUAUUUUGGCAAAAUUUGUUAUGUUCGAAGGGUCGUCCAUAAAUUACGUAUUUUUUUAAUGGGGAGGACGCCUGGUGGCACUACUUGUGGUCAAAGAUCAUACAAUUUUAUAAAAAAGGAAAAAAGUUCCAAAAAAUAUUAAAAAUUGGGUUUCGUACUUUAUAAACGGCCCCAAACAAAAAAUGGAUACCAAAUUCGUAUUCAGCGCCCCAAAAUUAUGUAAAUACCAAGUUUUUGUCGCAUUUAUCGAGACUUCUUUUGCUUGGCCAGCCUUUGUAUGGAGUCACCCCACUGUGCACCGGGUUGGUGAUAUCGCGUUUCUUGAUGUCAAUAUCUAAACAUCUAGUUGAAUGAGAAACUUGGUGUAUCAUGUAUGGUAUCAAGAUUGACGAUAUCACAUGAUAUCCGCUGUAGUGUGAACGAAUUAUAUGAUAAGUUAUGUACUGCCCAUACUUGAAGAGGGGGAAUGGUUUUGUUGCUAAAAACGCUUUGAACGUCCACAACAGCUUUUUUAAUGUAUUCUGCAGCUGAGUUCCAUCCGGCAAGUAUUUCAAACGCAAAAGUCGUUUUCUCCAACUAUAAGUACAAAGAAAGUGCUAAUGUGCAUACUUUGAGAAUAAUUUCGUGCUCAGCUUGUGAUUAAAAUGACUUCAAACUAUUUGAAGCAGUAUGGAAUAACAAGUAAGGAUGAGCACGACGAUAAGAUCUUUUAUGACCAUUUCAACUGUAAUUUGAAUAACUAUGACAAUAACAAUUACAUUAAUAAUUCAUAAUGGACUUCAAGUUCACUUUUUGUUAUCUCUCAUCAAAUCCUAAAAAAAAUCUGAAUGGUCACAUUUAUAUUAUCUUAUAAUCAAAUAGCUGAGUAGCAUGUCUAAGAAUGUAAAUAUUCAUAACAAAAGGAAACAGUCACUAGUUCUGAUCAUAGAAUCAUCAACAUAAGCUUGGCGGUCCGAAAAAAAAUCUUGUCGCAGCAAAAAAGUUGUCGUAAAAAAAGCAAAAUUCGAUGCAAGAACCUUCCGAUCGCCCACCUGACGCCCGUAACCCCCAGGCCACAACACACUGGUUGGUGUACAUGCGGGUAGAAAAUAUCUUGAAUAUUAGCAAAGAUGAAAAAGAACAAGAUACAAAAGUGUCCGAUCUUCUCAUAUACUUUGCGAACGUCAAGUAAUGAGGCGCCCUCGAACGACUCCCAGAAGCAUUAGUGGUGAAUGUGUGCUGUCUGUGGAAUACGAGCCUGACAAUAACAACAACUCUUAAGCCUGUAUUACACUCUUUGACCAAUCGUCAAAUAUUUGGCACUUUUUGACAGAUAAAAAUUUGGUCAAAGAUAAUUGUUUGUCACUAUCCAAUUUUAACAUGGGUCAAACACGGGCAAACAACAACCAUGAUGUCAAAUAAAUUUGACCAUUAUGUUAGAAGGUCAAAUAUUUGACCAUUAGACAAAGAGUGUACUACAGGCUUUAGAUAUUAGCCAACUUCUCAAUUAUUAUGGUUAUUAUCAUAAAUCGUGUCUCUACACAUGUAUUUUUACCCGCAUGUACUGCCUCUACACAUGUAUUUUUUUUUGCAAACGGCUUCUAUAAAAACGAUGUUUACUAUCACGAGAAACUGUUUUCUCAUUUUUAAUAAAAAUGGCAUAUUACACCAUUUUUUAAUCAUGGAUAGUGUAGGUAUCAAUGUCCUAAACUUUUGCAUCACUGGGAUCGACAGAAUGCUCGCAGUCGAGAAUUAUAAAAACUAGAGCACUGAGAUGAUUAAAAUUAAGUUAACUCCAUCCCGGCGAAAAGGAAUCAGUUUUUACCUCCUAAAACAAACUUCAAACUCUCAUUAGGGGUACUCAUCAACUAUACGCACAAUUGAAACAAACUGUAUUGCAUAUUAAAGAUCAUUCAUAAAAAACAACGAAAAAUACUGGCAUAAAGAGGAGAGCGCAUACAUUUACUCUCAUUCCUCUCUGAGCGUGCUUGUAUCAAAAAUUCAAACUUUUUAGUUGUCACUCGUUAUUAUUUUAGUUGUCUCCCGUUAUUAUACAAAUUCGCGCACAAAAUGGGUACUUUACGGUUUCUGGGCAUAGGAUGGCUGGUAGCUAGACCUGUGCGCCGACCAUAUUAUCGGCGGCGGCGGCGUAGAAAACAUUUUACCUCGGCGGCGAUCGGCGCGCCGGCGGGACGCCGUUGAAUUUUAUCGACGGCGGCGGCGACGGCGUGUAUCGGCGUGACACUAAUUACCACUUAUAAAAUAUUGCGCAUAAUGUGUGCUUUUGUACUCUCAUGUUCGGAUUUUUUUUUAUUUGAACGUUCAUAAAUAAAAAUGUAUGCUUCAGGGUUGUAAGAAUAGGAAUAGGAAUAAAAAUGAAAAGAUAUCAAGUAAACAAACAAUUGAAUAACUAGAAAAUAUCAAACCAAGCAGAGAAAGUAAAAACAAGUGUAAAUCCCAAAAAAAUCAUCAACGAGCCCACAAUGAAAAAAAUACAUGGAAUACUGUUCCCAGAAACGUUCAGUUUAGGAAAAAAGAUAGAUAAUUUUUUGAUAUGCUCAUUUUAAUAACCGUAGACCUACUUUGAGAAAUUUCUAUAUAUCUUACGUUAGAGAGUCGUUUUCAACUUUCAUAUAUUUUGUUAGGUUACCCAUGGAAAAAUUAAAAAAAAAAAGGGAAAUUCUUUUCAAUCGAAUAGAGUUCUUCGAUACACACCACAGAUUCUUUAUUUUCUAUUGCGACUUUUGGAAUAAAACUUACCAGAGGUGAAGCAUAAAGUCCUCCCUUCUCACGUAAUUGUGAUUGUGACGCGGUGUUGAUAGGAGGAACGAGGUUUCGUUAAGACUCCUCCCUCUUGACAAAAUAAGUCUUUCUUAAAAUAAAACUGUUCUGAGGAAUAUUAAUCCUUUCCAGGGAAUUGUAAUUGGCGAUAGUGGCACGGGAAACGAGGUUUCGAUAAGGCUUCUUCAUCUUGACAUAAUAGGUCCCUCUUAGAAUUAACCUGGCCAAAGAGGAACGUUAGGUGUAGUCUCACUCCAAGGAAUUGUAAUAUAGCAAUAUUGGUAGGAAAGUAAGAGGCUCGGUAUAGUAGAGCAUUAAGCUUGAAACGGAAGGGUAAACUCUCACACACAAGUACGGAUAUGUAUGAAAAGCGUAUCGUUUACUUCAAUAGUGAUACUGCCGAAAAUAGGGGAACUGCUCCAUUAUUCAUCUCAGCCCGUAUAUUCAUCUCAUUCAACAUGUAAACACAAUUGAAAACAGGAAAAAACACAUAUUUUCUUCUUGAACCAAUCUGCUAAUCCAUGGAAUGGAUUCUUCUUAGUUCACUUUAGAUUCCUCAUAAAGUAUAAUCCUCAAAAACUCACUUAAAAGCACUGAAUUUGAUAUUAUAGUCGGGCAUCUGCACUUGAAAACUCAUUUAAUUCAAUCACCUAGGGUAAUCGCUCCAUUUUUCAUCUCAACAGCUUGGUGCACCUAUAUUCAUCUUAUUUCUCUCAUUUGUCCAAUUUACCGUCAAAUUUCUACAAAUUUUUUAAAUGAAAAUCUAUUUGCUUCUCGAUUUUCUCAAGUGGCUGAAAGUUUAACGUUGAAAAUAUGGUUAAAUUUGACGAUAAACUGAUCAAAAAGGCGUGAUGAGAUGAAUAUAGGUAUAGGUACUGAGAUGAAUAUAGGAGCAGUUACCCUACCUCAGAAAACAAAAUCCGCGCAUUGUUCUAUACGGCUACAACGGGACUCGUUCAGCAGCCAACCAAUGUUUUUUUCAUCACUAGCGGACCACUUUUUAUUUUAAUCACUAAACAAAAUCACUCACUACACUAAAAAUACUUUAAUCUUUGAAAUGUUCACCUCAAAUUUCCUAAAACAAGCUUGAAUUAGCAGAAAUAUAUGAGAUCAAUUUCUACAAUUCGUAAGUUUCAACUGUAUGUAUUCUCAUCUGUUUUCACUGCGUUGAAGAAAAUCAAGAGUUGCCAAAUCAGUUUCUGUUAAUACGAAAAAAUCAUACUGAAAAUGUUGAAUUAUUCCGACAUAAUGGACAUAAAUCUACAGCACUGUUGUGGUUACCUAGGUUACCUAUUUUAAUCUCGCUUAUUUUCCGUCGGUCUAGUUCCGCCACUGUUAUGGCCAAUCACCGACGCCCAGGAAGACGACUCCACACUCAGGACCCUAACUUACGACCCGUUUAUUAACGAACCGGCUCCAACGGCUUUACUUCCUCAUGCGAUGGAAGGCGUGAUCCCAGAGAUUUUUCGCUUCAGAAAAUCUCCCGUUGUCGGCUAGGAUUGAAUCUAGACCAGCUGGGUUGGUUGUGAGUGGAUCACGCCACCUCACAACCAUCGACACCUAUGUCGGCGGUGGGAUUCGAACCCAGGCGUCGAGCGUGGUUGGCGGAGACGUUACUAACCACACUAGGCCCCCGCUCAGGGUUACCUAUUUUGCACGUAAACAACUGCAGCGGAUAUCUAGGUAACUACUACGACGGGCUGCGGCUACGUUCAUUCAUUGUAAUGUGAUUCAUUCAUGAUUAACAGUGUGUUGAAUAUGGGGGCAUCGUGAUAUGAAUAAUUGAGCAGUGAUUCAAGUUUUGAAAUGGAUAUGGAAGCGUUGUGAAAAAUGGUUUGUUUUACAAAAUUCAGGAUAAAUCCAGCUAAUUUCACUAAAUAUACAAUGCUAAACGAUUCCAUAAGAGUACGUAAGCAUAUUUAGCUUAUUUGUUCAAUGAUUUCGUGAAAAUUUGGUGUUUAAUCCGUGCAUUCUUCGUGAAUAUCGGCUUAAUGAGAUGAAUAAUGGAGCAGUUCCCCUAUGAAGUGCGGAGUACAGAAAACACCUGGGCAAUGUCACAAUGGAUCAAAUGUCACUGUUCGCAGUGAUGAGUUCACACAGCAAAAAAAUUACGAGAAAUCAGCAAAAAAUAGUCGUGUUUGAAAAUGUUCUUCUUGAUAAUUCUGAUUGGUAUGACAUUCAUUGUGAAAUUUGACAAAAAGUUUAUUAUCGAUUUUGACAAAAAAACUAACUACAAAAAAUGAUGAUCAUUUGCAAUAUGAUCAAAUAUUCAAUAUGCGCAAAAUUUUCAGUGAAUUCCCGCAUAUUGAUCUCCAAAAAACUAAGUAUUCUAAAGAAAACUAAUCUGCAAAGUACCAAAUACUUAAUGAAAAACCAUAUACCAUAUAUUUGCUUUUAUAUUUAAUACGAAAUAUAGGCAAACAAAACGUCAGGCCGCGAGUAAUCUAUAGAAUUAGUGGGAGUACUUACAAAAAUCGCAGGAUAUUAACUGAUGCGCUGAAAAAAUAUAAAAAACUUAAUAUUCAAAAAUUUUGGAAUUCUAUUAAUUGGUAAUAUUUGGAAUUUACUAGUUUAUGAUGUUUAAAAAAAAUCAGGCUCUUCACCUAGUUGGAAGGCAAACUCUGGAAAUUUGAAUUAUGCUCUAGAAAUAUCUGUAUGAAAAAACACCUUCAAAAACAUAAGUAAUAAAAAUAUUACAAUCUGAAAAAGUGAACUGAAGAAAUCGGAAUGCGAUGAAGAAACACAAAUUAACCAAGUGAAACGAACAGCGAUCCAGCAAUGAAAUUGCCACGACAGAAUGUGUCAAUCUUGUUGAAAUUUUUGUGCAAUCCUCACAAAAUUAAACUUUUAAAGUGUAAUGUAAAACAUGAUUAAUUUUUCUCAGAUGUUCAUUCGAGUUUUUGUAACAGAAAAUUGAUUUAUGCAGUAUGUAGUGAUCAUAGCCAUGCAUACAAAAGGUGAUGGUGGUUUAGGAGUUCAAAAAAUAGAAUAUAGAUUUCUGUGCACGCUUGCUUAUAUCAACACCAGCGGCAUUAUAACUUGCUUAUAGCGACACUAGCGGCAUAAUUGCCCACUAAGCAAAAUUUUAAAAUAAUUGUUAUUUUUUGGGUCGAUGAGAUCAUCGUCGAGUGGCACAUCUGUUUGUCUGACAGGAAAAUAUACAAAUUGUUAUUUGCAGACGUAAAAUGUUCUUAAACUGGACUAAAUCGAUAAAAUUGUCACUAGGUUCACUGAAAUUAGAAAGUUUCGUAAACGUGUACACCACUCAAAGAAACAUAAGUAACAUUUUAACUCAUUGGAUAAUAUUUUCAAUGAUUCGUGCAUUGACUUUAUUCACAAUAUUAAAUUAUUUUUACAAUUACAAGCUUAUAACUACAUGUUCCUUUGCAACUAAUGCAGCAGGGCUACGAUGCCUGCAGCAGAGUGUAGUAUUUGACAUUAUCUACAAACUUCUACCUCCAUAGUUUCAAAGGCUAGACUAACGGUGAAACGCGAAUCUGACGCGAUGUGAGAAGGUAAUAAUGUAAGUCCCAGAGUCCAUCGGUUCUCAAGCGUUUCGGUAGUGUGGAAGAGGUUUCAAAAGACAAGAGUAAAGAAAUACCUAUUCGCCACGCAUAAAUCCAUUUUAAAACGGUCGUUCGUUUCAAAAGAAGGGAAUAGUGACGGCGGCCUUAGCACUAUAAACCGCAACACGGAGCGAAAAGAAAAACACUUCUUCCGUUCAUUUGUUCGUAGGCUGUGUGGCACGGAAUUGGCCAGAGUCCGGCCUGGUCUGUCGUGCUAUUCAGAGCUGUCGGAUCGAUGGAGUUAACCUCGCGCGUAGUUGAAUCCUCAACAACCGGUCCGGUCCACGCGUGAAUCCGCGCUAACAGUCAGCAGUAACGACCAGACCAGUUCUCCUGCGCGCGCGUCUACGUUCUUCUUCUUUUGCGCUCCGCGCCUCGGCAGCACUGCACGCGCUCGAGGCAGCUUUCCAAGCCCACGGAACGCCUAACAUGCUCGACAUCAAGAUGAGAGGUAAACAACUUUUUUGCUUCUCUGUUUCAUAGCCUCUUUCUUAAUUCUUUCCCUUCCACCCGUUGUCCUGUUAGUGCAGACUUUUUUUCUGAUGGCAAUAACACAGCCUCCACAUCGUCCUAUGGACAACGAUUUUACGUUUCUUGUAAUUGACUUGUAAAAUAAGCUUCAAGUUCGUAACAAACAAAAAGUGUACUAAUAUUUUUUCGGAAAAUAACGAUGAAUGAUAAAAAUAAUUUUAGAUGCGUAAAUGAGAAUUUUUUGGGUGAAAGUUUCCAGGAACUCUGGGUCAACGGCACCUAAUGAAAGGAGUUUUAUGCAUUGAUGUAACUCGUUUGCUAUCUGUUAUUCUACGUCGAGAAACUACCUAUAUAAUUUCGUUUUUAAAAGCAACAUGGUGAUUAUUUUUUGUUUCUGUUGUUAUUUUCACAGUAUCCAGAAUAAUUUUUUUCACGUACAUAUUGUUUGCUAUCAUGUACAUUAACAGAAUUCUUGUAAUUUUUUUUUUUUAUCUUGUCAGGUAAAAAACCGACUGUGUCUGUUUUCGAACUUGAUCCGAUUGUUCAUAAAUUUCGCAGACAGUCAAUUUGACUGCCGACAUGGUUUCAAAAACUUUUGAAACUGCUUGAAAUCAGACCCAGUCGUUUCACCUGUAAGAAGUGAAAUGACUGAGAAAACUGUCGUUAAAAUCAAAAUCUGAUCGCAAAGAGCUACGUUUUUUACUACAAAUAUUACCCAUUGAAAUGAUUAUUUUUUGCCCUGGUCGUUUGAUUAUGUUCAGUUUUUUUAAGGAGACGAAUGCGUUUUUGGUAAUCAAUUUUUUUAUCAAAAUACUGUUCAUCCUGGAAUCAAUUGGGUUGUUUAGCUAUUCACGGAUUUCUGAUUUUUAUAUAUCAACUAAAAAAGUGUAAUUUUCUGAGCAAAACGUGAUUUUUCAUAGUUUUAUAUCAUUGUCCUUCGAUUUUUAAAUGAAGAAUAAAAAUCGCUCGAAAUCGCUACAAUGUUAGUUGGUACAUGGGUGAACUGUCAUUGUGGCGAUUUCGAGUAAAUUUCGAGUAGUUUUAAUUCGUGAUUUAAUAAUUGAAGGACAACAAUAGAAAAUAUUUGAAAAUCAUUUUUUGCUUAGGAAAUGCAGCUCUUUUAGAUGAUAUAAAAACUGAUAUACUGCCGUAAUCUCGCAGACGUAAUUACGUAAGCGCCAUUUUUUUAAAAUAUGGGGUUCUUAUGCCAAUUUGUUCGUUAUUCGAAGACCCAUCUUUUGGUAUCUUUUUUUUAGUUGUUACUUGUUCGUACGUUGGACGUUGCGUCCAAGAAAACAAAAUGACGUAUGCACCAUUUCAAUACAAAAGGGACAAAUAUCCCGUUUGAUUUUGGGCUGUAUUGCAAAACUGAUCAAACAGAUGUACGUCAUAAUGUUAUAUCACGGCAGUAUAGCUAUACAACCCAAUUAAGAUAUCAUGCUGCUGCUGUUAAGUAAAGACUGUCGUAGUCGCUGUCCAGAACUAAUAUGACUAAUUUACACUGAUGCAGGCUUUUAUAUAGGCCAAAUAGUACAUUCCCGAUUUGCUUUAUAAUUCUGUCGACCGUACUUGGGAAAGUAAGCAUUAACCCUCUUGUGCCCGAUGCCGCCUUCAAUAAAUACUGCUUCAAUAAAUACUUAAAAAAUGUUUAUAAUGAUUCAUAGUGAUUUGUCCGUAGCCCGUCUAGAAAUUAACUUGGGCACUAGAGGGUUAAGCCACCAAUCAGAGGUCGAAUUUUGCGUUUGACAACGCUUGACCAUUUUCAAUAGUACAAUAUUUCGAAAAAUCAAAAUCAAUUUUAGGCAUUUGGUUUCCAAUCGACUGCUGCAAGAACGAAGAAAAACCAUUGAAAACAACCGAGUUAUCAGCAUUCAAAAUUGGACAUAUUUUCCACUAUUUCCGUUUUUAGAUUUUCAUUUUACAUCCUUAUGAUGCCGAACUUCCUGAGAGACAAAAAUUAACUUUCUUAAUAAUGUAAUCCCUAUGUUGGCAAGCGUUUCCUCCUACCAACGAAAAUAUGUAGAUAUAUAGCACCUUACACAAAUAACUCCAUUGCGAAUUUACCGUGUAAAAGCUCUGCUAGUUGGAUCGAUCGAAUUAUUUCCUUUCAGCCGUACCUACCGUUUGCGCCCUUACCAAUCAUCCGAAGCUGCAUGAGCCCGCGAUCGUCGUUUUUUUUUUUCAUACGAACUGCUUCAAGAAAACAUCAAAUAUAAGCUACCGCGUUACGCGUUUUGUUUUGCUUAAAGAAGAAGAAGAAGAAGAAAUAGUGGUGGCCAUUGUUGAGUCCAGGGAACACCAUAGAAGAAUGAAGUAAAAAAAUGAAAAGGCAAUGCAAACACAGAGAAAAAUAAAAUGUUAGUAUUGACCUUACACCCAUGGUUAUCGCAACAAUCACAGAAUUUUGUAGUUAUUACCAUAAUAAUUGUCACCUUGAAAUAGUUCAUGGUUGAAAAUACCAUGACAGUUAAAGAGCAGUAACCAUUUACAUUGUCAAAAAAACCCAAUCGCAGUGGUCAUAGCGACCAUGUUUUAUCUGGUGAUCAAAACUAUCGAUAUUUGCAAUAGAACUAGUUUACCGGUUAAAUUUACCUAAUCAUGUAGUCAUGCGAACAAACGUGUAAUAUUUUUCGAGCUGCAAUAUAUUCUGACACCGUAAUCUGAAACUGUCAAAACGUUGUCUGCAAAAAUUUUGCAUCAUCUCGUAGUUGCUCGAAAUCGAGAACAAUUUUCUCCUUAUCGGUCAUUUCUUAGUGUCUGUCAUUAGACAAAAUAUAAUCCCUGCUGUGGGCAUAAGAUUAGGUUUACCAGGCCCACAGCGAAAGCGCCGAUGUUUGUGAGUGAAAAAAAAAAUGAAAAAACAGAAGUGAAAUCUUUUGCUUUCGGGCAAGGCUGGUAACGAAACCUACUGAUAAGGAACCGUGCCGGGAUUUAACGAAAUUGUUCGAACAAGGCCCGAGUAGUGCAGGAGAAUGACGGCUGCCAGCGUUCAACCAUCAGAGCUGGUAACCACCGCUCAGCCACUAGUUGGGCUAUCCGGCUUGGAUGUGCACUAUAAAAUUAGUCGUUUUUGUUUUUUUUUUAAUUCUAGCGAAUCUAUAGAAUAUAAGCUUCUUACACCCAGUUAUGAAUUUGCUGUAUCAAAACCAAAACACCAAUCCUACGAAUGGUAUUACCAAAAAGGAAUCUUAAAACAAAACUGAAUGCUGAAACAUUUGCAUGUUUUGCCGGCAGUCGUAGCCCUGGUUCGGGAUCAAGAAUGGAACGAUCUACAGGGAUGUGAGAAGCAGUUGCAGUGUGCUUCGAUUAAUCAGGCGUAGAGAAACUAUAUACGGCUAGCGGUAGUUUUAAUUCAAAAAGGUGCUAGCAUACCUCAAGGAGAUGAUUUUGUUGCUUCCGAGAGGGCAUCCCACUUGACCAGCACCGGUGAGAUUACCGCAAAAAUGCUCUUCGUGCUUCCUCACAACGAUCAUAUAAUGAAUCGCAUACUAAGACUGCAAUCCGCCUUCCUGGAACAUGCUCAGUCUUACUGUAAUCAAAUAAUGAAGCAAAUUCGGUGAGACGAAUAUUCGGUUGAACACAUUGUUGAUCGUAUAAUAACUAAAUAAGCAAAUGGUUAUGUUUGAUGUUUAAAUUGUUAUUUUCGCUUAUUGACUGUUCAUGUAAGAAAAUAAUUUAAAAUUGUUCGAAAUAAUUAAUUUUGCGCUUAUUGAAUGGAGUACCCUGAUCCGUGGCGCACCUAAUUUUGUGCUUUUCGACUUGUCAACAAAAAAAUAAAUGUUCUUGAGAUUAUGGUUCGUGAGCAUAAUUGCAAAUUUUGUGUAGGAUUACAUUUUAAGUGCUUUUGCAAAGUAUGCAGUGCAUGCAAUUUUAUGCAAUGCGUAGAAAGAACGAGAACUGAAAAUGUGAAUUUGGCUCAAAAAAAAUAUACCUCAUCCAGACCGGACAUGAACCAUGAGUGGAGUUUGCGGUUCGUGUUCCGUCUGAAUGUGGUAAAUUCCUAUAUGAACCUGAGUCAUAUCCUCAGUUCUCGUUUACCCCCGUUCAUAAAACUUUAUGCACUGCACUUCUAUAUUAUUUCUAAUGUAACAUACUAUUCGGUGAGCCGAAUAUUCGGCAAAAUCCAUUUUUUGCUGAUAUUCGGUGCAUCUCUAGUAGACACCAACUGCCUCGAAGUCAAAACCAUAGCUGGUUUCGUGAGCUUCAAAAUUUGUCGCCUAUUUUCCAAACUCAAAGGAGAUUCAAUAGCUUCAAAAACCACGUCGUCAAAUAUCGCAACCGAACCAGUUCCAAGAAGCUGCUCUUCGAGCACUACGUCUGGCUGACUGUGCAGUACAGUGCCUCCGGUGGGUUGUUUUGCGACGCAGUCAAGAACGGGCUGGCGUCACUACAAACCCAACAUCCUGGUAUUUACUUCCACGAGGCGGUCGAAUAUGUAGGCAAGCCAAGGAGGCGUUUUUCAAUGUUCCGCACUGACCCCGAGCGAGACUCAAACCGGUGGCGCUGGGCAGGCUUCUUCCACAAAUUCUAACGUGAUGCUGUACAGUCACUUUUUCGGUAACGAGUCACGAAAACAGGUGAACCUGUCACCAAGCAACAAGUUAUCUACCUGGUACACGAGAUAGAGAAAACCCACAAACAUUCGGCAUCUAUCAUCACCCUACUAGGACAGGCUAUGGCUCAGUAUAAAGUUUACAAAUGUCUACGCUUUUACAAGACGCAGGCAAUCAAUAUGGCUGACGGAUAUCUGACAAGUGGAGAUCACUCGAAAGCGCUUACGCUCUACUCGCUCAUGCUGUCUGACGGGUGAACGAAAGGUACACGAUAUUCGCCAAAGUUCUGUUGAAAACAUUGCGGUCUGCAUAUCUUUCCGCAUCCCGAUGCCCGAUUUUGUGGCAUGCAGCAUUGAGGCGUUAUCGCCGCAAAUUGAAAUGGAAAAAACUGAUCGCAUUCUGGUAAUGGAAAACCUCUGCGAAGCAUUCCACAACGUGUCUCGGUGUCGAGUAGUCAAACCGCAUUGUCCUCUUUCAAUAAUCCCAUAAAACAUGACAUAGAUCGGUUGCACGACCUUAUAGAAUGCAAAAUAAGUUUCGAUAAACGACAGUUGAGGAACGACGAAAAACUGCAUCUCCAACUGUACGUUCGUUCCGUCGUAGAAGUUUCUUUGAAGUUGGAAACUUUUCCGUUUUGUUAACAGAUCUGAAGUCAAGUUCGAGUCGAGUGCCAGCAACUCAGUAUGGUGAAUAUGUGUUAGAGGAAAGCGAAGCUGGACAGGUACAGCCGAAGCCAAUAGAAGAAUUCAUACUAGAGCCCAAUAAAUGCUACCGUAUACUAUUUAGUGGAGAACGCUAUCAGUUUAUUGAGAAUGUUAACGUACAUAUUUUCCGCUUGGAAGUGCAAAUGGGAUCGGCCCGAACCAAGGCCAUUCUUUCGCUGCGCGAAAAACUGAACAUUCAGCGAGUAUUCGAACACUUCAAUCCGCAUCGUGACUGUUAGGAGAAAAUAUCGGUCAUCAGUUCGUGCUAUAUCAUUCCAACGCUUCAUCUUGGAUCACAGACCAAACUAAACAACCAACCAAUGUUGACAAAUAAGUUUUACAAAAUUACGACAAAAAUUAUGAACAACCACGAUCUCUGUCUGCAGAACGUUGGAAUCAGUUUCAGUAUGCCUCAAGCUUUACGGAGUAAUGAUUCCAAAAGCAUCAUACAGUAAACCACGCAGACAUCUUCCACCGAGCAUGUAUUCGAUAAUCUUAUAAGUGUCCUGGAGACAUACGGCCUACCGACUCGUUCUCGCGAAUCGUACAGAACGUUCGGAUAUCAUUCACGUUUCAGAUACUGAGAGCAAAAGAACAUCGGAAACUCUAAUGAAGUGUAGUGGUAUAAACAUACUUUUAGUACACCUAAAGGAAACCGGGUGUUGGGAAUCCAAACGUGUUUGGCGUGGCUCGUAAUAAACCAUCCCAGACUAAGCUGACAGCAUUUUGCGUUUUGUUGAGGUAGAAAUAACUGAAGGCACAUCUGCUGAUAUGGUACCGAAAUCCGACACCAAUGCUUGAAUCGCUUCCAACCUUGACAUCUCUAAUUCGAACUACAGAUUAGUUAUAAAGUUAGUUAUAGUUAUAAUAAAACUAAGCAUAAAAACUAGGGACAUUGUACAUUUCAACUAAAAGUGCUGCCACACGAUGCACAGUGGCAUAGUUUCCUCUGGCAGACGUGAUAGAUUUCUAUGUCAUAGUUUUUAUGGAAUAUAAGAAACAAUUCUUUCAUAUAGUAUGAACUAUAACGUAAAAAGCAUAAACAAUUAGCGAGAGCGCUAAACAGUAGACUGCCAAAUAAUCUAUAACAUAGAGCGGUCAGGACGAAAUAGUGCCUAGUCACCAGGUUAUAGUUUUUUGAUAGUCUACAUUUUGGACUUUACGAACUAAUCUCAUUUUUGUCAUAUGACUUACAUUUUUUAAAGUUUAGUAAAGCGGACAAUGUAUGUAGUUUUUCGAAAAUGCGAAAAUGAACGAGAAUAGAAGGUGUGAACCCGCAAUCUCCGUUGUCUCCGGCAAGGUGUUUUGGCCAAUUAAACUACUGGGAAAGAUAUAACUCAUUCUGAGCCAAAGUCGAAUCACCCUCUACUAUUGUGUUCCCGUAUCCCAGCAUGCCACGAUGAACUGCAGUAAAAUUUUCUAAGACUAAAAGUCACACCUUCUAUUCUCGUUCAUUUUCACAUUCUCGAAAAACUACAUACAUUGCCCGCUUUACUACAUUUUAGAGCUUUCACUUUUUUAAGGUCAUGGUUGUCCAAAAUUCCAAAAAAAAUAACAGAAAUAUAUCACGUCUGUCAUAGGAAACUAUAAGGGAACUAUAUAAACAUAACAAAAACAAUUCAGUUUAAUUCUAAGUUCAGAAUACAAUAUUUUAUAUAUUAUA